GCCAUGUUGGGGAGAUCUAAAAUCGAAAAUACUAUGUAAAUAAUCCAUUACCUUUGAUUCUCUUCAUCAGAUGUCACUUCCAGGUAUCACAGGUCCAUAACGAAUGUAGUUUUGUUCAAAAAAGCUCAUCAUUUAUGUCCAAAAAUCUCCGUCUCGUUAGCACAUGAUGUAAGCCAGCCGGACUUCUCGUCAUGAACGAGGGGACAAAAUAUAUUUCCGUUCGUUCAAACAUGUCAAACGUUGUAUAGCAUAAAUCAUUAGGGCCUUUUUUAACCAGAACAUGAAUAAUAUUCAAGGUGGACGAAUGCAUACUCUUUUAUAACGUAUUGGAACGAGGGUACCCAACAUGAACUCGCGCGCCAGGUGUCUAAUGGGACAUCACCGUUCCAUGGCUCUUGUUCGGUCAGAUCUCCCUCCAGAAGACUCAAAACACUUUGUAAAGGCUGGUGACAUCUAGUGGAAGCAAUAGGAAGUGCCAAAAUAUUCCUAAACCCCUGUGUUUUUCAAUGGGAUAGGUUUAAAGUCAAUACAACACAUCAGGUAUCCACUUCCUGUCAGAAAAUGUCUCAGGGUUUUGCCUGCCAAAUGAGUUCUGUUAUACUCACAG
rnacentral:lncRNA from 1 species